rnacentral:rRNA from 2 species
AGGGGAGUGAAAAAGAACCUGAAACCGUGUACGUACAAGCAGUGGGAGCACAGGUUUACCUGUGUGACUGCGUACCUUUUGUAUAAUGGGUCAGCGACUUAUAUUCUGUAGCAAGGUUAACCGAAUAGGGGAGCCGGAGGGAAACCGAGUCUUAAUUGGGCGUUAAGUUGCAGGGUAUAGACCCGAAACCCGGUGAUCUAGCCAUGGGCAGGUUGAAGGUUGGGUAACACUAACUGGAGGACCGAACCGACUAAUGUUGAAAAAUUAGCGGAUGACCUGUGGCUGGGGGUGAAAGGCCAAUCAAACCGGGAGAUAGCUGGUUCUCCCCGAAAGCUAUUUAGGUAGCGCCUCGUGAAUUCAUCUCCGGGGGUAGAGCACUGUUUCGGCUAGGGGGCCAUCCCGGCUUACCAACCCGAUGCAAACUGCGAAUACCGGAGAAUGUUAUCACGGGAGACACACGGCGGGUGCUAACGUCCGUCGUGAAGAGGGAAACAACCCAGACCGCCAGCUAAGGUCCCAAAGUCAUGGUUAAGUGGGAAACGAUGUGGGAAGGCCCAGACAGCCAGGAUGUUGGCUUAGAAGCAGCCAUCAUUUAAAGAAAGCGUAAUAGCUCACUGGUCGAGUCGGCCUGCGCGGAAGAUGUAACGGGGCUAAACCAUG